rnacentral:lncRNA from 1 species
UAGCUUCUCUUAAGCUCCUGUCAACCUGCUGUGAUUUAUUUUUACUGAAGGAAAUUCUGUGCCUCUUUCUUUGCUUCAGAUGGUCACAUCUUUAGAUCCUGAAGGGAGAGAAGCAACACGUUCUCUCAGGAGUCCAAAUGCAGCAGCAGAUUUUGCCUCCAAGCAAAAACAUCUGUGAUUCUCGAUCCUCGCAGCAGGCUCUGCAAAGCCUCUUUGCAAAUCUUCUCACUUGCACUUUUCUGUGUCAGGCAACGGAAGGAGCUGAAGUCAUGAACUCCAGUAUUUCGGUAAGUGGUCUCAAAGUCAUUGGGGGAUAACGGAGGACAAGAAGAGGUGAAUGGCUAGAAGGGAAUCUGUAUCGUUUGACCUGCGGCUGGAAAUCUGAAAAGGGACCGAGGAGUUCUUUCCAAAUACGGAGACCCCUUCCGGGCCAUUUGUUCUGACUUUGUCUGAGCAGAAUAAAUAUAGCCCUGUCCAAAUAGGAAUUAGUCUU